GUAGGUGAACCUGCGGAAGGAUCAUUUCCGAAAAAACAAACAAAUACAAAUAACCAACCCCACACACACACAGAAUUGUGAAGGGGUGGGGGGGUGAGAGUGGAGUUUUACACUUUGCUCUUUCUCCUUCUCCUCUCUCUUUUUUGUUGCUGUUGUUGUUCAUGUGUACUUGAUAUGUUCUGUCAUAUCAUUUUAGUCCGAGUAUCCCUCCUUUUUUUUUACUCUCGAAGACUUCUUUUGUAAGUCGGAGAGAGGCCAUUGAAGAACCCCCACUUUUAAUCCUUGUCAUUCCUUUACCAAGAAAAAGAGGAUUGAUUUCGGAGAAAAAGCGAAAAAAUUAAAAGUUUUUAAAUUCUUUAUCGAAACAAACAAAAAAAUUAUACGACAACUUUUAACGGUGGAUCUCUUGGCUCGU
rnacentral:misc_RNA from 1 species